GGUGAGGUGGCCGAGUUGGUUAUGGCGCCAGGUUAAGGUUACCUUAAUAUCUGCUUCCUGGUGGGGCAACCCGCGCGAGUUCGAGUCUCGUCCUCAUCA